GAACGGAGAGAUUCAUCGUCUCUCCUCGGAGCGUCGUGCGUCGUCUCGAUGCUGUCACCGUCAGGGGGCGGUACGAGCGGCGUCGACAGCCACCGGGGAGGGCGUGCACUUCUCUCUUAGUAAGACAUCGCGACCCGUUCGAUGUAGGUCUAAGCCUCGUGUGGGAGCCCGGCGGCACUCGCUGCCGUCGGACCGCUGCGUCGGUCGACCUACUGUCGGACGGUAUAAAGAUUAGAAUCGCGCACGCGCUAUGCGCGUCCGGCACGACGCAAUUCGUCGGCGUAUUGGGAUCCUGCCUCGCGGCGGUUAACGAUACGUCUGUGUCUGUUGUCGCAGCCGUAUAGUCUCGGACUGUGCGCGUCUCGGUCUGCGAUGAUUCAGUUUCGGGCACUCGCAGGACCCGUCUUGAAACACGGACCAAGGAGUCUAGCAUGUGUGCGAGUCAUUAAGAUUUGAAAACUGAAAGGCGUAACGAAAGUGAAGGUGUGUGCUCGUCACGCGCUCAGGGAGGAUGAGGUGCGAUCUCGGUCGCACUCCCGCACUCC
rnacentral:rRNA from 1 species